CGUGUCCCUGGGGAGCAUGGCCCUCCAGCAAGGCUGUCCUGCAGGGGCUGGAGAGCAGUCCUUCCCCUCCUGGGGACGGUGUCCACGCCUGCCCAGCCUCAGGUCACAACCCGGCUGGGACCGGGCCCCGUGGGGGGAGUGUGUGACUGUCCCCCACACGAGGAGGUGGACCGCACGUCCUUUCCACACCCUGCAGGACAACACGUGCCCGUGAAUCUGUGGUGACCGAAGGUCUGCGAACGUCAGAGGGGUAAGAAAACAGGAAACAAAACUGGUCGGAACAGGCGUGAUCCAGGGACUGGACACUCCCAGGACAGAGGCCCAGGAGGCAGGACGAUCCAACCCAGACCAUGGGAAAGGCCACUGGCCCUUCUGUGUCGCCGACCAGCGUGCCUGUGCCGCCCGGACCUGGCCCUCAGCCCGCUGCCCCCGAGUCCUGCCCCCUCCGCACACUGAGCGCCCC
ensembl:lncRNA